UCUUGCUUCUGUGUUGCGACAGAUCCCUGUUACAUCACAGCAAAGCCGGAAAGAUCUGUCCUGAUAGACACUGAAUCAUCUGAUCUGCCUUCACUCAACACGAUGAGUCUAAGGUCGCGAUGAUGAGUCGCUUUCAUGAUCUGUACAUGCAAAGUGGAGGUCGCCUUAUCCUAACAGCUGCUGGCACAAAUGCAGGUGCACCGAUAUGGAGCCAACUGCUGGCAAGUAAAUCAAACAGCUCGCCUCGCCGCCCAUUUUGACGGAGAGACGAUUAAAUAAUGGCAGACAGAAACUGGAUGCUGUGGGAAGAGUCCAGGCCCAGCAAACACCCCAGAGGACUGUGGACAUUGAGCCUGCCCACCUCAACCCCAUUCUCCUCCUGGCUCUUCGAUUGGCGCGGUCCUGCCUAACCCUUAUCAGCGUCCGGGCUCUGGGUCUCUUCACCUGGCUCCCCCAGCUUCCUGCGCCUCGUCUCCUCCAAAACUUGAAUGGGGGGGUCUCUUCACCUGGCCCAAGGUCUUCAUUAGCAAGCAAGAUUUCUCCAGCCCAGAGCCCAACCGCCAAAAGACUUUUAUUUUCAUCCUAAAUGUUUCACAAAUAUCUUCACAAUUAAAUCUUUCAAUUCUA